CAGAGAAUAUGAGCCGCGUAGAAUAAAGAGGGGAAGUGACCCAGGCACACCUGUCUGCUUAUGUUGACCCUCCACUUAAUUGCUUCUGGAGCCUUACAGUCUAGACAAUAGAAAAGCGUGGUCCAAUAGCAGGACAGAUGUCGAGGACUGAAUCAAUUAGAAUCCUCUCCAAAGGGCAUAUACAGUACUAUAAGCCCAGCCUCACACUGUGUCGGGGACAAAACUCUAAACAAGGUUAAGUAGCCUAAUUGCUUGGCCAGAACUUAACUUUUAAGAAGAUUAGCAGAAAUAUAAAUCCUUAAUGUGAAAAAAAAGAAGUCACUGUGUUAUCCAACUUGCACACCUCCAGUAUUCUGUUCCUUGCCUUUUUCCUGUGUUCCCUGCCAGCCUGUUUAUUUCCUUAGCAAGGACCUCCAAUCCCAUCCCAAUGUCCCGUUUUUCUCUUCACAUCACUUCUCUAGGUCUGUAUUUACCUCUUGGGCUCUGAAGGGUCUCCAUGGUGUUAAGGGGGCCUCUUAUAACAAGAAUACUUGCACAGCCCAAUUAGGCAAUAACUGCACCUUCAAAGUUUGUUUUUCAAUGAAAUUUCUCUCAUUGGCCUGGUUAUUUACAAUAUGUAUUUUUAAGUCCUCUUAUGACUGUACUUUAGAAAGGAGAGCAAGCGAAAAUGGAUGGCCUAAUAAGUUUUAUUAAACAGGUUUAAUAAAAAGUCAUAGUACAAAACUUUUUUACUAACUUUUAAAAGAUUUUACUUUUUUACUACAAGUCUUUCCCAGACCAACCAGCAUCACAGAAUCAAUGGAAAUGACUUAAAGAUAGAGAAAAAUAGCUGUGGACCAUAUAUAAAUACAGCUCUGUUUUCUACUGGAACCUUUUGAAGGCCUACUUGAUUUCUCAAGUUGUGGUCUUGUGGACUUUACAAAGGCGUAAUGCUAUUGGACUUGUUCAAAAAGCCAGAAACAUGUAUCUGCAGUGCCAACGGGUUGGAGAGGGAUACAGGAUUACACAGCUGUCUUCUUAGAUAAAUCUGACCUACCGAGCCUUCUCUGGAGAUGAAAACCAAGCAAGUCUAUAAAUGUGAGUUACAUCUUAACACAUUCUGCAUAAAACUGAUAGUGAACUGUCAAGCCCAAAUCACUAUCUCGAAUCCAGAGAAGAUUCAGUUACAAGUGGUUGAUUAAAUGAGAUAAUAAUGUAUGGACUGCCACAUAGGGAUGUGCAUGGAGUUCCCAAAAAGUAGGGACCAAAAUCCAGCUCUGUGAUUCACUACGCCAGGCCCUGACUUGAAGAUGCCUGGAGUGAGAAGAUCCUUCUACUGAUCCCACACUGACCAAUGGCCAAGUCACAUGCCUGUGACACUGUGUCCUCCCAGAGUGGGAAUAAUAUUUUUCUAACCAAAAUAUUAUUUCUUAUGUCAAAAGAGAAGGGAGAGCAGCACUCACUUUACAUGCACGUCUUAUGUGAGAACACGGCAGGAUUCGUCUUACUGUCCUUAACUCGAGUUAGAAACUGUGAUUGAGAGUUACCCGGUAAGUUGUUAAUUCCACUGCACCAUACUGUCUCUAAAGAUGAAAAAGCAAGAACUCACUUGGAAACUUCCAUUUUUUUCAUGUUUUAAUUCUACUUAUUUUAGGUUGCUCAUAGGAAGGUUCGAAGUCUACAGGAGCCCAAGCUAUAGUCAUUAAAAAUAAGUUACUAUUGUUACACAGAGCUGCAAAACAUACCUCACCUCUGCUUGCUCCCAGGUGAUAAAUCACGGUCAAUAGGAAAUCAGUAAAGUCUGUCAUUUUUCUCUCAAGUCUUCACAUUGUUGGACACCUAGAUCUUGACCCUCUACUGACUAUAGUACAUACUAGGUUAUAGUCUAUUUGGGAAAGUUAUUUGUGUAAACCUCUAAGAUAGUGGCCACAUUAACUCACUUAUUUGUACUUAUCAUUAAAAUGUUCUACUUGGGAAUUCAAAA